rnacentral:rRNA from 1 species
AGCGAACGCUGGCGGCAGGCCUAACACAUGCAAGUCGAACGGACCCUUCGGGGUUAGUGGCGGACGGGUGAGGAACACGUGGGAACGUGCCUUUUGGUUCGGAACAACUCAGGGAAACUUGAGCUAAUACCGGAUGUGCCCUUCGGGGGAAAGAUUUAUCGCCAUUAGAGCGGCCCGCGUCUGAUUAGCUAGUUGGUGGGGUAAAGGCUCACCAAGGCGACGAUCAGUAGCUGGUCUGAGAGGAUGAUCAGCCACACUGGGACUGAGACACGGCCCAGACUCCUACGGGAGGCAGCAGUGGGGAAUCUUGCGCAAUGGGCAAAAGCCUGACGCAGCCAUGCCGCGUGAAUGAUGAAGGUCUUAGGAUUGUAAAAUUCUUUCACCGGGGACGAUAAUGACGGUACCCGGAGAAGAAGCCCCGGCUAACUUCGUGCCAGCCGCCGCCGUAACAC